rnacentral:rRNA from 1 species
CCUACGGGAGGCAGCAGUAGGGAAUUUUGCGCAAUGGGCGAAAGCCUGACGCAGCAACGCCGCGUGAUUGAUUAAGCCCUUCGGGGUGUAAAGAUCUGUCAGUGGGGGCGAAACUUGACGGUACCCACAGAGGAAGCACCGGCUAACUCCGUGCCAGCAGCCGCGGUAAUACGGAGGGUGCAAGCGUUGUCCGGAAUCAUUGGGCGUAAAGAGUUCGUAGGUGGCAUAUUAAGUCUGGUGUUAAAUGCAGAAGCUCAACUUCUGUUCGGCACUGGAUACUGGUAAGCUUGAAUGCGGUAGGGGUAAAGGGAAUUCCUGGUGUAGCGGUGAAAUGCAUAGAUAUCACGCAGAACUCCGAUUGCGAAGGCAGCAUACCGGCGCUCAACUGACGCUCAUGCACGAAAGUGUGGGUAUCGAACAGGAUUAGAUACCCGUGUAGUC